UCUAUCCUGCUUCCUAUCCUGGAAUAUGCUGAUGUUAGUUUUUUGGAUGUGACAGAGGAGCUACUGAAUAAACUUGAGCGCCUACAAAAUUUAGCUAUCAGAUUUGUCUUCGGUCUACGUGUCAUUUCGGGGCCGGCACAGUGGUGAUUCCAAUGGACUCGCCACUGGGACACCAUGUCACAUUAGACCAGCCAUCAAGAAUAUCAGACGGGAGAAAGUGCUGCAGGAUGCCAAUCCGAUGGUACAUACGAAUAUGUGGGUUAUAAGGAAGACUGUCAUACAAGUGUAGCGCUUUUUGUACCGCAACAAACACA